UGGGGGAUAUUGCACAAUGGGCGAAAGCCUGAUGCAGCGACGCCGCGUGGGGGAUGAAGGCUUUCGGGUUGUAAACCUCUUUCGCUAUCGAACAAGGCCCGCUUAGGGUGGGUUGAGGGUAGGUGGAGAAGAAGCGCCGGCCAACUACGUGCCAGCAGCCGCGGUAAUACGUAGGGCGCGAGCGUUGUCCGGAAUUAUUGGGCGUAAAGGGCUUGUAGGCGGCUUGUUGCGCCUGCUGUGAAAACGCGGGGCUUAACUUCGCGCGUGCAGUGGGUACGGGCAGGCUUGAGUGUGGUAGGGGUGACUGGAAUUCCAGGUGUAGCGGUGGAAUGCGCAGAUAUCUGGAGGAACACCGAUGGCGAAGGCAGGUCACUGGGCCAUUACUGACGCUGAGGAGCGAAAGCAUGGGUAGCGAACAGG
rnacentral:rRNA from 1 species